GUCUGGUGGGAAGGAAGGGACAC
rnacentral:miRNA from 1 species